AUUGCCUUAGUAACGGCGAGUGAAGCGGCAACAGCUCAAAUUUGAAAUCUGGCCCCAGGCCCGAGUUGUAAUUUGCAGAGGAUGCUUUUGGCGCGGUGCCUUCCGAGUUUCCUGGAACGGGACGCCAUAGAGGGUGAGAGCCCCGUCUGGUUGGAUACCAAGCCUUUGUAAAGCUCCUUCGACGAGUCGAGUAGUUUGGGAAUGCUGCUCUAAAUGGGAGGUAUAUGUCUUCUAAAGCUAAAUACCGGCCAGAGACCGAUAGCGCACAAGUAGAGUGAUCGAAAGAUGAAAAGCACUUUGGAAAGAGAGUUAAACAGCACGUGAAAUUGUUAAAAGGGAAGCGUUUAUGACCAGACUUGGGCCGGUUAAUCAUCCAGCGUUCUCGCUGGUGCACUUUGCCGGUCCAGGCCAGCAUCAGUUCGCUGCGGGGGAUAAAGGCGUCGGGAAUGUGGCUCCUCUGGAGUGUUAUAGCCCUUCGCGCAAUACCCUGCGGUGGACUGAGGUUCGCGCAUCUGCAAGGAUGCUGGCGUAAUGGUCAUCAACGACCCGUCUUGAAACACGGACCAAGGAGUCGUCUUCGUAUGCGAGUGUUCGGGUGUAAAACCCCUACGCGUAAUGAAAGUGAACGCAGGUGAGAGCUUCGGCGCAUCAUCGACCGAUCCUGAUGUUCUCGGAUGGAUUUGAGUAAGAGCAUACGGGGCCGGACCCGAAAGAAGGUGAACUAUGCCUGUAUAGGGUGAAGCCAGAGGAAACUCUGGUGGAGGCUCGCAGCGGUUCUGACGUGCAAAUCGAUCGUCAAAUAUGGGCAUGGGGGCGAAAGACUAAU
rnacentral:rRNA from 1 species